rnacentral:rRNA from 1 species
GACGGGUGAGUAACGCGUGGGUAACCUGCCCUGUACAGGGGGAUAACAGCUGGAAACGGCUGCUAAUACCGCAUAAGCGCACGAGGAGACAUCUCCUUGUGUGAAAAACUCCGGUGGUACAGGAUGGGCCCGCGUCUGAUUAGCUGGUUGGCAGGGUAACGGCCUACCAAGGCAACGAUCAGUAGCCGGUCUGAGAGGAUGAACGGCCACAUUGGAACUGAGACACGGUCCAAACUCCUACGGGAGGCAGCAUG